rnacentral:tRNA from 1 species
GGGCGAUUAGCUUAGAGGUAGAGCAUCUCGUUUACACCGAGAGGGUCGGCGGUUCGAUCCCGUCAUCGCCCACCA